rnacentral:rRNA from 1 species
GAUGAACGCUAGCGGGAGGCCUAAUACGUGCAAGUCGAACGAGGUGCUUUUGUAGCAAUACGAGAGUAUCCUAGUGGCGAACGGGUGAGUAACGCGUGGAUGACCUGCCCCAAAGUGUGGGAUAACAGUCCGAAAGGAUUGCUAAUACCUCAUGUGGUUAUCGGUUUUAGAAAGCGAUAACUAAAGCAGCAAUGCGCUUUGGGAGGGAUCUGCGUCCCAUCAGCUAGUUGGUGAGGUAACGGCUCACCAAGGCGACGACGGGUAGGGGACCUGAGAGGGUGGCCCCCACAAUGGAACUGAAACAACGGUCCAUACACCUACGGGUGGCAGCAGUAGGGAAUAUUGUCUCAAUAGGGCGGAAAGACCUGAAGACAGCAACGCCGCGUGUGCGAUGAAGGCC